GCGUCAAUAGUGCAACGGAUAGAGUACGCGCUCCCGGAAAGAGUGAGGUGCGGGUUCGAGUCCCUGCUGGCGCG